UACGGAGGGAGCUAGCGUUGUUCGGAAUUACUGGGCGUAAAGCGCACGUAGGCGGCUUUGUAAGUUAGAGGUGAAAGCCUGGUGCUCAACACCAGAACUGCCUUUAAGACUGCAUCGCUUGAACACGGGAGAGGUGAGUGGAAUUCCGAGUGUAGAGGUGAAAUUCGUAGAUAUUCGGAAGAACACCAGUGGCGAAGGCGGCUCACUGGACCGUUGUUGACGCUGAGGUGCGAAAGCGUGGGGAGCAAACAGG
rnacentral:rRNA from 1 species